rnacentral:lncRNA from 1 species
GGAAUAUUUAAUCAGUGUUUGUAAAAGUUGAAUUUAUAGGUUCUUUUACAAGAAAGAAUAGAGCUGCUUGGAGCUAAAUACCCCGAAGCAAAUAACCUACUGGAGAUGAGUAGAAGCUCUCUGCUGUAGAUGGGGUUUUCCUUCAUCCUGUCUACAUCAGAUUUUUGUCAUUUGCCUCACAUCUAUAGCCUUUGGACUUCUCAUCUCUGCCAAAGAAACGUGGGCCAGAUGCUCCUUGAAGAAAGACUGCGACUGUGCAUGUCAACCACUACUUCUCAUACUGAAGCCUAGGAAGAAAUGUCAGAACUGGCCAGGGGAAGCUGACACCCUGCGAAAUACACCCAGAUCCUGCUUUCCUAGGACAGAAAAAAUGAC